AUUGAACGCUGGCGGCAGGCCUAACACAUGCAAGUCGAGCGGAUGAAGGGAGCUUGCUCCUGGAUUCAGCGGCGGACGGGUGAGUAAUGCCUAGGAAUCUGCCUGGUAGUGGGGGAUAACGUCCGGAAACGGGCGCUAAUACCGCAUACGUCCUGAGGGAGAAAGUGGGGGAUCUUCGGACCUGGCGGUAUCGGAUGAGCUUAGGGCGGAUUAGCUAGUUGGUGGGGUAAAGGCCUACCAAGGCUGCGAUCGGUAACUGGCCUGAGAGGGUGACCGGCCACCCUGGGCCUGAGGGGCGGCCCAGACUGCUACGGGUGGCAGCAGUGGGGAAUCUUGCACAAGGCGCGGAGGCCUGAUGCAGCAACGCCGCGUGCGGGAAGACGGCCUUCGGGGUGUAAACCGCUUUCACCUGUAACCAUGCGUGUUUGACGGUAACGAGUAAAGAAGCACCGGCUAACUACGUG
rnacentral:rRNA from 1 species